GGGCUGGUGCGCCACCCACCCCAUCCCAAGGCGCACAAGAGGGAAGGGUGGGCUAACCCUAGGCGUGGUGGGCUUGCCUUGGGUGGCAAGCCACCCUAGGGCGGCACCUCCUCCACCCUUGGCCGCCGCCCCCUUGCCGAUCUAGGGCUACCACACCACCUAGGGUGGAAAACCUAGGGGUGGGCACCCUCCUCCCUAUCCUCCUAUAUAUAGU
rnacentral:lncRNA from 1 species